AAUGAACGUUGGCGGCGUGGAUUAGGCAUGCAAGUCGAGCGAGAAUCUUCAGCAAUGAGGAGGACAGCGGCGAAAGGGAGAGUAAUAGGUAGAUACGUGCCCAAGGGUUCGGGAUAGCCACGCGAAAGUGUGAGUAAUACCGAAUAAUGUCUCAGGACCAAAGAUUUAUUGCCUUUGGAGCGGUCUACUUCCUAUUAGGUUGUUGGUGGGGUAAUGGCCUACCAAGCCGAAGAUGGGUAGCGGGUGUGAGAGCAUGACCCGCCUCACUGGGACUGAGAUACUGCCCAGACACCUACGGGAGGCUG
rnacentral:rRNA from 1 species